rnacentral:rRNA from 1 species
CCUACGGGGGGCAGCAGUGAGGAAUAUUGGUCAAUGGACGAGAGUCUGAACCAGCCAAGUAGCGUGAAGGAUGACUGCCCUAUGGGUUGUAAACUUCUUUUAUCUGGGAAUAAAAUGUUCCACGUGUGGGGUUUUGUAUGUACCAUAUGAAUAAGGCUUGGCGCACUUCGUGCCCGCAGCCGCGGUAAUACGGAGGAUACGAACGUUUUCCGGGUUUUUUUGGGUUAAAGGGAGCGUAGGUGGAUUGUUAAGGCAGUUGUGAAAAUUUGCGGCCCAACCGUAAAAUUGCAGUUGAAACUGGCAGUCUUGAGUACAGUAGAGGUGGGCGGAAUGCGUGGUGUAGCGGUGAAAUGCUUAGAUAUCACGAAGAACUCCGAUUGCGAAGGCAGCAUGCUGGACUCCGACUGACACUGAGGCACGAAAGUGUGGGGAUCGAACAGGAUUAGAUACCCCUGUAGUC